UACGUAGGGUGCAAGCGUUGUCCGGAAUUAUUGGGCGUAAAGAGCUCGUAGGCGGCUUGUCGCGUCGGCUGUGAAAUCCCGUGGCUCAACUGCGGGUCUGCAGCCGAUACGGGCAGGCUAGAGUUCGGUAGGGGAGACUGGAAUUCCUGGUGUAGCGGUGAAAUGCGCAGAUAUCAGGAGGAACACCGGUGGCGAAGGCGGCUUUCUGGGCAGUAACUGACGCUGAGGAGCGAAAGCGUGGGGAGCGAACAGG
rnacentral:rRNA from 1 species